rnacentral:rRNA from 1 species
GAGUUUGAUCAUGGCUCAGAUUGAACGCCGGCGGCAUGCCUUACACAUGCAAGUCGAACGGCAGCAUGAUCUAGCUUGCUAGAUUGAUGGCGAGUGGCGAACGGGUGAGUAAUACAUCGGAACGUGCCCUGUAGUGGGGGAUAACUAGUCGAAAGAUUAGCUAAUACCGCAUACGACCUGAGGGUGAAAGUGGGGGACCGCAAGGCCUCAUGCUAUAGGAGCGGCCGAUGUCUGAUUAGCUAGUUGGUGGGGUAAAGGCCCACCAAGGCGACGAUCAGUAGCUGGUCUGAGAGGACGAUCAGCCACACUGGGACUGAGACACGGCCCAGACUCCUACGGGAGGCAGCAGUGGGGAAUUUUGGACAAUGGGCGAAAGCCUGAUCCAGCAAUGCCGCGUGUGUGAAGAAGGCCUUCGGGUUGUAAAGCACUUUUGUCCGGAAAGAAAUGGCUCUGGUUAAUACCUGGGGUCGAUGACGUACUGAAGAUAGUCGCG